CAAUCAGGGUGCUGGUUAGGUGGAGCUCUCGCCUCUGUAUUGCCUGUGAUCUCCUGUCCAGAGAUCAGAGGGGUGUUUUUCUCUCUCUCUCUGUCUCUAAAAUAUGCCUGGUUUGGAUCACUGCAGUUUAACUGACUGUGCUGUUAUAGAUGUGGGAAUUUAAUCAGCAGACUGUGGGACACAUUCUAACCUCAGUGGAGGAGUCACUUUGGAUUUACACCAGGAUCACUGAGAUCAGAAUCCAGCCCUGGCGGUACUGACUGCAUUAGAGUCGCUCUGGAUCACAGCUGGACAGGCGGUGGGAACGGAUUGGACCCCAUCUCUCCAGCCAGAGAGAGGCAAUGGAAAAGGAAUAAAGGAGGACGGAUGAAGUGAGAAUCCUCUGCAGUGUGAGGUGCCUGCUGAGCUGAGAGCGAGUUCCUCACCGUGAAAGCCCUGGAAGGGAGGUGCUCAGGAUCCGUGGGUUCUAUUCCUGGCUCUGCCACUGACUGGCUGAUUUGCGGGUCCACAGACAAUGUCUCACGUGAUGUGAACUUUUUUUUUCUUUUAAUUGUCUUCUGUUCCGUAUAUCCCUUACACCAGCACGAAAUGAAAACAGGUGAGAGACUCCAGAUUUACACUGGGGUCACUGCAAUCAGAAUCCAGCUUGGAUGCCACUGAGUUCAAUGCAGUUACUCUGGAUUUACACUAACUUACCAAGAACAAAAUAACCUUCAGAUUUGGCCCUGUAUCAUAGUGCAGGCUCACAAAGGGACAGAA